rnacentral:lncRNA from 10 species
GCCUCCUCCUAGGUCCGGUUAAAAUGAUCCCCAGGUCGGGACCCGGGAGGGACUGUCCUCGGGUCCCGCGGCCAGGGCUGCGCCUCCCCUCCCUCGGGCCCUACGCGCCUCCGGCGGACGCGGGGAUUCCUCCACAGUGGCCUCGCAGCUGGGGCAAGGGGGACAUCCCCGGCGCCGCGGAGCCGCGAGCGGAGCGAGCGCCCGGGGCGCACCUGAGCCUCCAGCACUCCCCGCGGCCGCGGAAACAUUUUCCUGGGCAUCUAAAAGUAUUGUGGACCUGAGACACUGUGCUUACAGGGCCUACUGGGUUGAUUCUAAAGAAGAAAGAAAAUCUAUAUGCAUGAAAAGAUGUCUUAAAAAGUUUUGAACUACUCAAAGUUAAGAUUUGGGGAAAUAGAAAUAGUAUAUAACUUAAGAAAAUUGCCACUGGCUGUGAACCCCCAUGGCAUUUUCUUUGCACUUUUUUGCUUCUCGUUAGAUUGUAUGUGUUUUUACCAUUUCACACAAACUUUUAAAGAUUAUUCCACGCCGUUAGCUCUGUGCUUCUAUUAGUGUCUCUAUCUCUCUUUCUCUCUCUCUUCCAUCUGAGUACAAUGGCUAGAAAAUAAUACACACUUGAAUGAAUAAAUGUCAUUUAAAUAUUUUAAUAAACAGAAGGAAUAGUACAAUAUAUUUCCC